AUGGAUACUCUCCUGAACGUGCUUUUAGGCACUCUGUUGUGGCGAUUGGCUUGUGUGAGAAGCCAAGAAAUGCAGCAGAGUCCUCAGUCCUUGAUCAUUCAAGAGGGUGAAGAGGUUACCAUCGAGUGUAAAUCCUCACAGCCUUUGUAUUCCCUGCACUGGUACUGGCAGAAGCAUGGUGAAGGUCCCGUCUUCUUGUUGAUAUUAAGAAAAAGUGGAGAAGAGAGUCUUGACAAAAUAACCGCCACAUUGGAUGAAAAAAAGCAGAACAGCUCCCUGUACAUCACAGACUCCCAGCCCAGUCACUCAGGCACCUACUUCUGUGCAGGCGCAGCAAAGUGA